AUUUGAGGUGGGAGCCACGGGGCUCUCGAGCCUCACCACUCAGCAUUAAUGGGCAUCAGCAGGGGUGGUCAGAGAUGCAGAUGCUGCGGCCACACCCUGACCGGAAUCUCUGCCCUUUUACAAGAUCCCCAGGGGUUCAUGGGUGCUGAACUUGGGGACGCUCAGGGCUAGACGCCUGAAGCCAGGUUAAGUGGGUCAGCUUGGCUGCAGUCUACCCCGUGGCUGUAUCUUCUGGCCUGCCCUUUAAAAACAUGCCCCCAGAAUCCUCCAUGUCACCCAUCUGCCAACUGGAUGUCAACUCCCAGGACAACUUUGGAAGCUGGUCAUUGAAGACAGCAGAGAUGUGGCCCCUGGGUCCCUGGAUUACUACAUGGAGCAGAGCACCCCCUUCCCCAACUCCAAGCUACUGAUUGGGUUUAUGUGUAUUAUGCUACCUGAGAUUUCAGGAUUUAUGUACCUAAUUCAAUUUCUUUCCUUUUUUGCUACCCAUUUUACAGAUGGGAAAAUUGUUGUUAAGUUGCUAAGUCCAUGUCUGACUCUUUUGCCACCCCAUGGGCUGUGGCUUGCCAGGCUCCUCUGUCCAUGGGAUUUCCCAGACAAGGAUACUGGAGUGGGUUUCCAUUCCCUUCUCCAGGAGAUCUUCCUGACCCAAGUAUCAAACCCACGUCUCCUGCAUUGCAUUCUUUACUGCUGAGCCAUUAAGGAAGCCCUGGGAAAACUAGAUGAGCUACUUUAAGGUGUGGCAUACCAAGGGCUUCCCAGGCGGCACUAGUGGUAAAGAAUCUGCCUGCUAGUGUAGGAGACGAAAGAGACAGCGAUUCAAUCCCUCGGUCGGGAAGAUCCCCUGGAGUAGGAAAUGGCAACCCACUCGACUAUUCUUUCCUGGAAAAUUCCACGGACAGAGGAUCCUGGCAGGCUAUAUAUAGUCCACGGGGUCACAAAGAGUCAGACAUGACUGAGUAUGCACGCACACUACAUGCUACUUACCAGGGUAUUGGCUGAGUGGUCUAAGAAAUAUCAGGUUAAAAUUCAUUCACUGAACAAACAUGUGUUGGCCUACUAUGUGCCAGACACUGUGCUGAGUAUACCAUACUGAACAAAACCAACUAGAUCUCGGCCCUCAAGGGUUUUAUAGU
ensembl:lncRNA